rnacentral:rRNA from 1 species
UACGAAGGGAGCUAGCGUUGUUCGGAAUCACUGGGCGUAAAGCGCACGUAGGCGGAUUUGUAAGUCAGGGGUGAAAUCCCGGGGCUCAACCUCGGAACUGCUUCUGAUACUGCAAAUCUCGAGUCCGGAAGAGGUGGGUGGAAUUCCUAGUGUAGAGGUGAAAUUCGUAGAUAUUGGGAGGAACACCGGUGGCGAAGGCGGCUCACUGGCCCGAUACUGACGCUGAGGCACGAAAGCGUGGGGAGCAAACAGG